UACAGAGGCCCCAAGCGUUACUGAGAAUCACUGGGUUUAAAGGGUGCGUAGGUGGCGCGUUAAGUCCGUUGUGAAAUCCCUGGGCUCAACCCAGGAAUUGCUUCGGAUACUGGCGUGCUUGAGGCUAGUAGGGGUCACUGGAACUGACGGUGGAGCGGUGAAAUGCGUAGAUAUCGUCAGGAACGCCGAUGGUGAAGACAGGUGACUGGGCUAGUUCUGACACUGAGGUACGAAAGCGUGGGGAGCGAACGGG
rnacentral:rRNA from 1 species